rnacentral:rRNA from 1 species
UCAGCCGGCCAUAGCGUGCGGGUCCGACCCAGACUCGUUCCGAACCUGGCAGUCAAACCGCGCGUCGCCCCGGUGCUACUGACUUCCGAGAGGAGUCGGGAAGCCGAGGUGCCGGCGCCU